UCUGUAACGCUGUGCAUACAAUCAAAUA
rnacentral:sRNA from 1 species